UGGCGAACGGGUGAGUAACGCGUGAGCAACCUGCCUUUCAGUGGGGGACAACAGAGGGAAACUUCUGCUAAUACCGCAUAACGUGCCUUGGGGGCAUCCCUGGGGUACCAAAGAUUUAUUGCUGAAAGAUGGGCUCGCGUCUGAUUAGAUAGUUGGUGGGGUAACGGCCCACCAAGUCGACGAUCAGUAGCCGGUCUGAGAGGAUGAACGGCCACAUUGGGACUGAGAUACGGCCCAGACUCCUACGGAAGGCAGCAG
rnacentral:rRNA from 1 species